rnacentral:rRNA from 1 species
GACGUAGGGCGCGAGCGUUGUCCGGAUUUAUUGGGCGUAAAGAGCUCGUAGGCGGCUUGUCGCGUCGAAUGUGAAAACUCAGGGCUCAACCCCGCGCUUGCAUUCGAUACGGGCAGGCUAGAGUUCGGUAGGGGAGACUGGAAUUCCUGGUGUAGCGGUGAAAUGCGCAGAUAUCAGGAGGAACACCGAUGGCGAAGGCAGGUCUCUGGGCCGAUACUGACGCUGAGGAGCGAAAGCGUGGGGAGCGAACAGG